AUGGAAACACCUACCAAGCAAUUGACAGACACCAAUGCACCAACUAAACCAACCACAGUACGCAUACACAUCUCACAUUGUCUUUUUUUUCUGAUUAACGAACUGUAUGUAGUAAACAAAGUUGUAACUAAGGGAACCUCACAGGAAAUGGGAGACCAGCUUGCUGUUUUAGGCAUGUCACUGUGGAGGAAAUACAUACAGAAGGUACAAAACAUGGUUGGAAGGAUAAUUAUGGAACCGAACUGCAAGACACAACUAUCAAUUCAGCACAGCACAGAAACACACAAAAGAUCGAAGCAACGCAUUCCCAUCUCCUGA
rnacentral:rRNA from 1 species